GUGGGGAAUUUUGGACAAUGGGCGCAAGCCUGAUCCAGCAAUGCCGCGUGCAGGAAGAAGGCCUUAGGGUUGUAAACUGCUUUUGUACGGAAUGAAACGGUCCUGGUUAAUACCUGGGGCUAAUGACGGUACCGUAAGAAUAAGCACCGGCUAACUACGUGCCAGCAGCCGCGGUAAUACGUAGGGUGCGAGCGUUAAUCGGAAUUACUGGGCGUAAAGCGUGCGCAGGCGGUUUUGUAAGACAGGCGUGAAAUCCCCGGGCUCAACCUGGGAAUUGCGCUUGUGACUGCAAGGCUGGAGUGCGGCAGAGGGGGAUGGAAUUCCGCGUGUAGCAGUGAAAUGCGUAGAUAUGCGGAGGAACACCGAUGGCGAAGGCAAUCCCCUGGGCCUGCACUGACGCUCAUGCACGAAAGCGUGGGGAGCAAACAGGAUUAGAAACCCCGGUAGUCC
rnacentral:rRNA from 1 species